GACAGAGGGUGCAAACGUUGUUCGGAAUUACUGGGCGUAAAGCGUGUGUAGGCGGUCCACUAAGUCGGAUGUGAAAGCCCUGGGCUCAACCCAGGAAGUGCACUCGAAACUGGCGGGCUAGAGUAUCGGAGAGGUUGGUGGAAUUCUCGGUGUAGAGGUGAAAUUCGUAGAUAUCGAGAGGAACACCGGUGGCGAAGGCGGCCAACUGGACGAAUACUGACGCUGAGACUCGAAAGCGUGGGGAGCAAACAGG
rnacentral:rRNA from 1 species